AGAGUUUGAUCAUGGCUCAGAACGAACGCUGGCGGCGUGGAUAAGACAUGCAAGUCGAACGAUUAUCAUCGGGUAGCAAUAUUCGGUGGUGAGAGUGGCGCAAGGGUGCGUAACACGUGGGUAAUUUGCCGUGAAGUCUGGAAUAACUUGCUGAAAGGCGAGCUAAUACCGGAUGUGAUUGCCGGAGGGCAUCCUCUGGCACUUAAAGUCGGGGACCGUAAGGCCUGACACUUUUCGAUAAGCCCGCGGCCUAUCAGCUAGUUGGUGAGGUAACGGCUCACCAAGGCUAAGACGGGUAGCUGGUCUGAGAGGACGACCAGCCUCACUGGAACUGAGACACGGUCCAGACACCUACGGGUGGCAGCAGUCGAGAAUUUUUCUCAAUGGGGGAAACCCUGAAGGAGCGACGCCGCGUGGGGGAUGAAUGGCUUCGGCCCGUAAACCCCUGUCAUUUGCGAUCAAACCUUACGACUUAACACGUCGUAAGCUGAUAGUAGCGAAAGAGGAAGGGACGGCUAACUCUGUGCCAGCAGCCGCGGUAAUACAGAGGUCCCAAGCGUUGUUCGGAUUCACUGGGCGUAAAGGGUGCGUAGGCGGUCGGGUAAGUCUGACGUGAAAUCUUCAAGCUCAACUUGGAAACUGCGUCCGAUACUAUUCGGCUAGAGGAAUGGAGGGGAGACUGGAAUACUUGGUGUAGCAGUGAAAUGCGUAGAUAUCAAGUGGAACACCAGUGGCGAAGGCGAGUCUCUGGACAUUUCCUGACGCUGAGGCACGAAAGCCAGGGGAGCAAACGGGAUUAGAUACCCUAGUAGUCC
rnacentral:rRNA from 1 species